GGCAUGGGUUAAUGGUGCUUUCCAUUUACCUGCUUCCAUUCUUAAGGUUCCAUUCAGGGUAUGGCUCAGGUUUUUUAAACGGGUGGUUGCGUGGACAUUUCAUGGCACCGUUCUUACCGAAUUGGCCGCGAUGUUGCAUCGAGCAGCCUUCAUGGAUUUGUCCCAAUAACUUUUGAUGUCGAAGCUUCUCGAAUUUCUGCCUGAUAGAAAUGGUGAUGCAACACAAUAGUGAAAUGGAAAGAACAGACUUUCUUACACAAUUGCCAGUUAAUUGUUGCAGCUGUUUGUUCGAGGAAAAUCCGAACGGAAAAAAAAGAACGGACGUCAAGUGCAAGUAACCAGCCAUUGCAUCACCCAAGACGUAUACUGAUUUAACCCCGGCGACUGCAUCACCGAUUUAUGGCACAACUUGAAAGUGCUGGUAAACUUUUCAUUUCUAGGUUAGGUGAGGGAAGAAAGUGGAUCCUACGUGUUUGCUGUAGGUGACUGCCCGGAUUUAAGUUAAAGGCAGGAACUGAAGUAGAAGAAGGGCCACCCAUUUGAAUCUGCCCGUCGACGAUAUCGAUGAUCCUCAGGCCACAACAGUCCAUAAUUUUCACGAUCUUGAGAGUUUCCAAAAAGCUCAGCUGCUCAAUAAGCUACGACAGACAUGGAUAGCUGAAAAGAAUUCAGCAACUAAUGGUGAAGAACGCGAGCCACCAGCUCAGACGAGACGAAGAUGUGAGUUUGUUUUGAACAACAAAGUCCCGUUUUGGAACGAACACAGUCAAGUUUAUCAGUUGGACUUUGGAGGGUGAGUGACCCAAGAAUCUGUGAAAAAUUUUCAGAUUGAAUUCUAAGGAAAACAGGUUAUGCAGUUUAGCAGAAUCGAUGGGAAUGCCUACACGUUAGAUUUCAGUAUCCUUUCUCAGCUGUCCAGGCUUUUGCUGUGGCAUUGGUGACUCAAUGAUUGAAAUAAAAAUGGUAUUUGGAUAAAUCUGUCC